rnacentral:rRNA from 1 species
GUAGUUUGGCAAUAAAUGUAUAAGUUCAACAUGUGAUGAAAAAUGUAGCUAAAUGCAAUAAUAUUUGUGAAAUGCAAAAUCCCGUGAAUCAAUUCAUGUUUGAAUGUGUCUUGCAUCUUU